AUUGAACGCUAGCGGGAUGCCUACACAUGCAAGUCGAGCGAGCGGCGAACGGGUGAGUAAUGUAUCGGAAUGUGCCCGGUAGCGGGGGAUAACGUCGCGAAAGCGUGCUAUACCGCAUACUAUUGGAGCAGCCGAUAUCGGAUUGGCUAGUUGGUGGGGUAACGGCCCACCAAGGCGACGAUCCGUAUCUGGUUUGAGAGGAUGACCAGCAACACUGGAACUGGGACACGGCCCAGACUCCUACGGGAGGCAGCAGUUGGGAAUUUUGGACAAUGGGGGAAACCCUGAUCCAGCCAUCCCGCGUGUGUGAUGAGGGCUUCGGGUUGUAAAGCACUUUUGGCAGGAAGUCGUUACCUGCAGAAUAAGCACCGGCUAACUUCGUGCCAGCCGCCGCGGUAAUAC
rnacentral:rRNA from 1 species